GGAAUUUUGGGCAGUGGGCGCAAGCCUGACCCAGCCAUGCCGCGUGUGUGAAGAAGGCCUUCGGGUUGUAAAGCACUUUCAGUGGUGAAGAAAAGCCUGGGGCUAAUACCCUCGGGUCAUGACGUUAACCACAGAAGCAGCACCGGCUAACUCCGUGCAAGCAGCCGCGGUCAUACGGAGGGUGCGAACGUUAAUCGGAAUUACUGGGCGUAAAGCGCGCGUAGGCGGUUCGAUAAGUGGGAUGUGAAAGCCCUGGGCUCAACCUGGGAACUGCAUUGCAAACUGUCGAGCUAGAGUAUGGUAGAGGGAGGUAGAAUUUCCUGUGUAGCGGUGAAAUGCGUAGAUAUAGGAAGGAAUACCAGUGGCGAAGGCGGCCUCCUGGACCAAUACUGACGCUGAGGUGCGAAAGCGUGGGGAGCAAAC
rnacentral:rRNA from 1 species